UACGUAGGGGGCAAGCGUUGUCCGGAUUUAUUGGGCGUAAAGAGCGUGUAGGCGGCUGGGUAGGUCCGUUGUGAAAACUCGAGGCUCAACCUCGAGACGCCGAUGGAAACCCUCCAGCUAGAGUCCGGAAGAGGAGAGUGGAAUUCCUGGUGUAGCGGUGAAAUUCGUAGAUAUUCGGAAGAACACCAGUGGCGAAGGCGGCUCACUGGACCGGUAUUGACGCUGAGGUGCGAAAGCGUGGGGAGCAAACAGG
rnacentral:rRNA from 1 species